rnacentral:lncRNA from 1 species
GCACCUUACACAGUUCCAGAGUCAGCCUAGGGGUAAAGAGGCUCCCUGCUAUCCACAGAUAAAUUAUCUCCAGGACCCCAGAAGACUCCUUUGGGCUGCUUCCCAUUCAACAUCAUCUUCCCUGACCCCAAGAGGAAAAGCUCCCUUUGGGAUCCCUGGCCUACUGCAGGACUCAGGUUUGAUUUCCCAGCCUUGUUGCUGGUCCAAGUCUUCAUGUCCUGUUUUGAGAGCUACUCCUGUCAAAGAAAACACUUUUUAAAAAUAAUUUGCUGUAAUCCCAGCACUUUGGGAGGCCAAGGUGGGUGGAUCACAAGGUCAGGAGUUCGAGACCAGCCUGGCCAAUAUGGUAAAACCCCCUCUCUACUAAAAAUGCAAAAAUUAGCCGGGUGUGGUGGUUCACACCUGUAGUCCCAGCUACUUGGGAGGCUGAGGCAGAAGAAUUGCUUGAACCUGGGAGGCGAAGGUUUCAGCGAGCCGAGAUCAUGCCACUGCUCUCCAGCCAGGGCGACAGAGCAGGACUCUGUCUCAAAAAAUAAAUAAAUAAAUAAAUAAAUUGCACAAAGGCAUUGUUUGGUGGUUUUGCAGUCUUUGCAGUAUCCUUGCAGAUCACAUUUCUGAUAUUGGCAUUUGCUCUCAGGACAACCUCUGUUUUAUUUUACGAUCCUUAGUUCUCUAGCUGUUUGCACACAUGAUUUUUUUCAGGUAUCUGGGAAGAUCCCUAUUUUGAUUUGCCUGAUA